AGCUCCAAUAGCGUAUAUUAAAGUUGCUGCAGUUAAAAAGCUCGUAGUUGCAUUUCCGAGGCAAGGGCUUAGUCCGACCUUUGGUGGGUAUUUAAUCCUCUUGCCUCGUCCUUGAGUGGUGCUUCUUGGUAUUAAGUUAUCGAGGAGAUAGCCGCUCAUCGUUUACUGUGAGAAAAUUAGAGUGUUCAAAGCAGGCUUAUGCCGUUGAAUAUAUUAGCAUGGAAUAAUAAGAUAGGACCUCGGUACUAUUUGGUUGGUUUGAGAACCAAGGUAAUGAUGAAUAGGGACAGUUGGGGGUAUUCGUAUUCAGUUGUCAGAGGUGAAAUUCUUAGAUUUACGGAAGACGAACUACUGCGAAAGCAUUUACCAAGGAUGUUUUCA
rnacentral:rRNA from 1 species